UACGUAGGGUGCAAGCGUUGUCCGGAAUUAUUGGGCGUAAAGAGCUCGUAGGCGGCUUGUCGCGUCGGCUGUGAAAACCCGCGGCUCAACUGUGGGCGGGCAGCUGAUACGGGCAGGCUGGAGUUCGGUAGGGGAGACUGGAAUUCCUGGUGUAGCGGUGAAAUGCGCAGAUAUCAGGAGGAACACCAACGGCGAAGGCAGCUCGCUGGGACGGUACUGACGCUGAGACGCGAAAGCGUGGGGAGCGAACAGG
rnacentral:rRNA from 1 species